rnacentral:lncRNA from 1 species
GUAUUAAAAGUAAGUGCUGGAUUGGAACUUCCAAAAUUUGAUGAGAAAAACAAGAAUUUCUUCCCUUUUUGUGUCUUUAUUUUUUACGUCUUCACUACUCUAUUUCUCUCAAUUUCGUAUUGUAUUUUAAUUUAUAUUAUGUUCAUGCUUUUGGAUCAUUUAGUCGAUUUUGACUGGAAAAACCACUGCUAAUUCGACUUUAAUAUUGGUGUUAAGUGUUCUCCUUUUUAAUUUUUGACAGAGUAGUCUUCUUACACCAAAAUUUGGAAAUGCUCAGUAAAUAUUUCUAAUCUUCCUUCCAUCUCUUUUAUGCGUUUUGUCUAAUCGCGUUUGAUGUUUUCUCUAAUCCAUUCAUUAGAGCAUGUUUAUUGAAAUCUAAUAAUAUUCUUGGGUGUUCCGAUUUUUCUACAUUAUGGUUUACUAUUUUCUUUCAAGGGUAAAGUUCUGCCUUCCUUUGCACAUAACAUGUUUGGUGAAAGUUAUGUUCAAAUUGUUAGAGUAAUGAUCCAUUGAUUCGUAGUAUAUAUGUAGUCGACUUCUGUAACAUCAUAAAGUAAUGGAUUACAAGUGUCGGUGAAAGAAACAAAAGGAAAAUGACCUCUUCGACUACAAUUGAACAUAGAAUUAUUUCAAGUUGUGCUCAUAUACUUCACAUUGAUUGGUUUCCAUAUCUUCUAUGAGAUUGCUGGAGAUCUUGGUAAUUUGCAGUCUCUACUGCGAAGAGGAAAAAUGACUAUUUUGUGAACUCUCUUUGUUCAUGAUUAAUGUUUAUUUCAAUUUAAGACAAUAUUAGCUAUUCAUAGUCUCAUCAGCCUUUGCUACAAAGAUUGAAGCUUGAAUGGUUUGUCGCUCUUUAAGUUUUCACUUUCUUCUUUUGUUUAAUUCAAUGGACAACUCCCUAAGGAGCUCAAGAUAUUUAUUUUUUUUAGUUUUGACUCGAUAUUUGAACUUAAGAAUAACUUGUGUUGGUUCAUUGAUGUCAGAAAUAAUUGAAAUUCUUUGAACUUUAUUUCAGCCUUCCCAAACUAAAACAGAGGUGUACAACUACUAUAUUUGAUGUGGAGUAUCUUAAUUAGAUGUGUGUUUUUCUUUCAUAUAUGAAUCUUGAUAUUUAAGGUGCAGUUAUUUUGAAGUGUCGUGUCUUCAUUAUUCUUUGUAAUGAUUUUUCUUGGCUAUAGCUGGGAACUUUUCUUUGCAUGAAUUAGUGAAAAAUAUUGAUUAUUAAGUCUCUGUUUUAAGUUACAGUUCAUGUUGUAAAUCCUUCUACUGAUUACCAUUUUGUUGAAGUGCUUAGUUAUAACAGGGGACCUUAAUUUGGUAUGUAAGAUUUGAAGAAGAAAGAUGAGUUCAACCAUGCAGGGGUUGCUAUUGAAGAGAAAUACAAAUGACAUUUACCUGAGAAAAUUACUAAAUGAGGAGUAUGCAUAAGAGCAAUUUCAAGUUUAUCACCCUUCUAGCAUUGAUGUAAGUUGUUCUACUUGGAGUAAGUCAUUAGGUGCUAUCAGCAAGAAGCUAAUGAAUUUUUAAAUUUCCCAACUACCAUAAAAAAAAAAGCAAAAUCUUUCAGCUCUGGCAAUUUUGAGGCAUAUUUCAGAUCCUACAUUAACUACAUGUAAAAAAAGUACUACUCACUUAGCCUUGAAAUGAUAUGUAUUAUUGAUCAUGUUUUAUUUUUUUUGUACCCAGUAAUCAAGACUAU